GAGUUUGAUCGUGACUCAGAACGAACGCUGGCGGCAUGCCUAACACAUGCAAGUCGAACGAGACCUUCGGGUCUAGUGCGCACGGGUGCGUAACGCGUGGGAAUCUGCCCUUGGGUUCGGAAUAACAGUUAGAAAUGACUGCUAAUACCGGAUGAUGACUUCGGUCCAAAGAUUUAUCGCCCAGGGAUGAGCCCGCGUACGGAUUAGCUUGUUGGUGAGGUAAAAAGCUCGACCAAGGCGACGAUCCGUAGCUGGUCUGAGAGGAUGAUCAGCCACACUGGGGACUGAGACACGGCCCAGACUCCUACGGGAGGCAGCAGUGGGGAAUAUUGGACAAAUGGGCGAAAAGCCUGAAUCC
rnacentral:rRNA from 1 species